UGCCCUAGUAACGGCGAGUGAAGCGGCAACAGCUCAAAUUUGAAAUCUGGCUCCUUCGGGGUCCGAGUUGUAAUUUGCAGAGGGUGCUUUGGCGUUGGCGGCGGUCUAAGUUCCUUGGAACAGGACAUCACAGAGGGUGAGAAUCCCGUACGUGGUCGCCUGCCUUCGCCGUGUAAAGCCCCUUCGACGAGUCGAGUUGUUUGGGAAUGCAGCUCUAAAUGGGAGGUAAAUUUCUUCUAAAGCUAAAUACCGGCCAGAGACCGAUAGCGCACAAGUAGAGUGAUCGAAAGAUGAAAAGCACUUUGGAAAGAGAGUCAAACAGCACGUGAAAUUGUUAUAAGGGAAGCGCUUGCAGCCAGACUUGCCUGUAGUUGCUCACCUGGGCUUUUGCCCGGGGCACUCUUCUGCAGGCAGGCCAGCAUCAGUUUGGGCGGUCGGAUAAAGGCCUCUGACACGUACUUCCUUUCGGGGUUGACAUAUAGGGGAGGCGUAAUGCGACCAGCCUGGACUGAGGUCCGCGCAUCUGCUAGGAUGCUGGCGUAAUGGCUGUAAGCGGCCCGUCUUGAAACACGGACCAAGGAGUCUAACAUCUAUGCGAGUGUUUGGGUGUCAAGCCCGAGCGCGUAAUGAAAGUGAACGGAGGUGGGAACCCCUCGGGGCGCACCAUCGACCGAUCCUGAUGUCUUCGGAUGGAUUUGAGUAAGAGCAUAGCUGUUGGGACCCGAAAGAUGGUGAACUAUGCUUGAAUAGGGUGAAGCCAGAGGAAACUCUGGUGGAGGCUCGCAGCGGUUCUGACGUGCAAAUCGAUCGUCAAAUUUGGGCAUAGGGGCGAAAGACUAAUCGAACUAUCUAGUAGCUGGUUCCUGCCGAG
rnacentral:rRNA from 1 species